rnacentral:lncRNA from 1 species
UUAAGGACUCAGCUAAAAUCCAGGAGAUAGGAGAAUAUUUUGGUGUUGGAAAGUACUCAAGAUAUUUCCCUGUCAUAUUUACCGGAAGAACUAUUGACAGUAAAUCCACACUUGGGGAAGGGAUGUCUGUUGAAGAAAGGAACAACCUGAAGCAGGAACUGAAGUCUCUUAAAAUGGAGGACAUAUCCUCCUUCAUGGAAUCUCUGCCUACUGAUUUUCUCACAGUAUUGCGGACUGAUGGGCUCCUAAGAUCUCUGACGAGCAAGUUGGGUGCUCCUUUGCGAGUCCGGUUACUAGCAUAUGCUGAAUAUGCACUAUACGGACUUUCAUUGAAGGCUGACUCUAAAUCUGAUUCUGCCAUAGAAGUUGUGCUCUUUAGAUUCAAGAUUGGCCUCCGAUACAUCCAACUAAGAGUCCUGUUUGGGAUAUUGGGGCUUGUUUCAUGGUUAGAAAACAUCAAACACACGUCAACUAGGAGGUUUAAAGAUUUUCUUGCCUCAGCUGGUUUUGUGGUAAGGAACUUGUACCGUCCUUUAUUGACCGCAUAAUUAAGUCUGGCCAGUUGUAAUAGUGAAGAAAUUGUCUCAUUUACAUUCAUUCACUUCUUAAGAAGCUUUCCUAAACAAAUUGUCUCUAGGUGGUACACUAUAAUUCUAGAGAGGAAAGUCUGUUUCUACGAACUCCAUCCGAUCAUCUACAAUUGUUGUGUCAUGUCUAGUCUAAAACUAGACGAAAACCUGUAUAGUCAAUUGCAAUUUUAUAGUAAUAUUUUCUCCUUCAAAAACUAUUGGAUCUUUUCUCUCAUUGGCAUCAUGUUCUAUUAUAUGCAGCACAAGUAGGGAUUGCCCUACAUAAAAAAGUUGAUUUCCCUUCGAGCAUUUGUUAAUGUUGUAUCUUCUUGUUAGCGCAACUAUAUAGACAUGAUUUUUACCAAUUACAACGAGUACUUUUCAACAAUAUUUUAGCCAAUCUUUCACACUAGAAAUUUGUGACCUGUUGUCUUAACUGCACUCAAUAGAACACAACUAGAUUUCUGACUCUCACCACCAUAUGCUGUUUGUAGAAUUUAAAUUUUCUAUGGUCGAGAAUAUAUAUUGGUCAUUAAGCUCACAAUGGGCUUUGGACUUGAUGACAAUACCCAAGGAUUAUACCGAGGGAAAAUAGGUAGAAUAGUGCUUAUUAAGCACCAUUUGAUAGCUUAUUAUCGGAGUUAUGAGGUUGUUGCUUUAACAUAUACUGUUAGAGGCUGCUGUAAUGUAAACAGUUUUCACGAAAACUGAUGAUAAAUAAGGCCAUGGAAAAGCAAUCUGGAAGUGCUUUGUCUCAAUCAGUUAUCGCAGAAAGAGCAAGAACUACAGUGACUAAGAUUCCAGGUAUUCUACUCUAACUUCUUCAAUGAUGUCACGUAAUCCUGGAUCAUCAUCGGUAGAAAUGGAAGUCAAUGGCUUUUUACGCUCAGUUAUCAUUGGCGGUUUGAUUAACAAGGCACUAGCUUGGGAAGAUGAGAAACAGAAGUGUUUCUGUACGAUGGGGGUGAGUUCUUUUGCAGCUGUGCUGCCAUGGGAAUGGGAUGAAUCACAGUUACCAUCUUCUGGCUCACAAUGAGUGAUGAAAAACAACACAUGAAAACCAAGAAAGUUGCUAAUUAAAUACCUGUGAACGCGAUCAUCCCACAACUGUAUUUGUCCUUGUGACGCAUAUCCAGAUGACUGUUAAAGCUCAUUGAAGGUUGCUAUACCUCCUAUUUACAUCUUAUUAUAAUUGGAAGAGAGGACCGUGCUUCUUAACGUUCGUAUAGUGCUGUAAAUCUAUAGCUAUUUCAAUGUAAUUAUGAUGGUCUCUUCUUUCUCAACAUGAUAUUAGUUCUAAUGACAAUGAUACAAUUGAAGACAUCUAAUUUUUGAUUUCUUAGAGAAGGAUACUUAGUACUUUGUGACUAUGAGUGAUGAUUGUUCUCAAAUGGUUUGGAUGAAGGUACAUGAAAGUCAUAUGCACAUAUACAAAUACAACAUCUGAUGCAGUUUCUUGAAGUGAGAAGUAACAGAAAUACUUGAAAAUCAAGUCUAUCUUGUGAUAUGCGCGAUGAAAGAAUCCAACUCUAUUCGAGAAGCUCCCCCUUUCUCUGUGGACUUCCUUACAACUUCUCCCAAUUCUUCUGCUCUUUUUCUAAUCAGGUCUCCUUCUUCUGAUGCCAUCAACUUCCUCACGACAUUCUCAAUAGUGGAUGCACUUACUAGCUCCUCGCGUUUCUCCCAUUCUCUAACAAGCAGGCCUGUUUUCAGUAUUUCUGUCACGAAGAAACCAUUUAUUGGUUGAUCAGAGUGCAUAGGCCAAGCAGCUAUAGGCUCUCCCAUAGUUAUACUCUCUAUGCAAGAAUUCCAUCCACAAUGACUCAUGAACCCGCCUGUAGACGAAUGAGCCAAGAUUUCUGGUUGUGGUGCCCAUUCUCUUACCACUAACCCGACCUCUUUUACUCUUUCCUCAAAUCCUUCAGGCAACUCAACUUUUCUAGCUUCCCCUUCAAAGAUAUCUCCUCUAUCGGCGUCUCUCAACACCCCAUAUGAACCUCUGUUUACUCUGCUCUAACCCCAUCGCGAGCUCCUUGAUUUCCUUAUCAGAAAAGGAAAUUGUUGUUCCAAACGAUAUAAAAAGAACUGAUCUCGGAGGUUGUUUGUUCAGCCACUCCAAACAUAUAUCGUUCCUAUUUGAGAUAUGAUGGAGUUUAGUAGGCAGAACAGGUCCAAUUGCCCAUUGCUUCUUGUUCAGAUUAGUUUCUGCUUGUUCCAACAAAUCAAGUAACUUGCCUUCAUUUACUUUGCUUGUGUUAUGGAUAUCACCUGAUCUAAUAGCCAUAUACUGAUGCUGAUAAGUCGAAAAGUCCCUGGCUUCAUCUGCCAUAAUUCCUUCAAGGGAGGGUACCUUUUUAAGCAAAUUUUCUUCAUGUUGUAUAGAUAUUCCACCAGAUAAGCUUAGCCAAUGGAAUGAAGUGAAGACUGAAAUGCAGUUAAAUACAUAGGAUUCAACAUUGGGCAAAGAAGAAACAUCCUGAACAUUAUAAGACAUUAAAGGAUCAUGAACAACAAUGACUCGUCUUGCUUUUGAUGAGAUAUCGCGUAAGAAAGAAGCAAUGGGCUCGCGAAGAAGCAUAGAAGCAUCCCACGAUGGCUGAAGAUGUGAUGGGAAUUUGCUCAAGGCAUUAAAGUCAGGUGAUGGUGAGUCAAAUUCAGGAGUUGGAAGGUCAUGGAAGUGGACUUUGGCUAUGUCUGAAGGAUUUAAGGCGUUGGCUCGAAUCCUAGCUUGACGAUUAUGAGUGGCCGAGCCAACAUAGUAGACAGGAAGACCAUAGGACGAGAUUAAACAUGAAAGUUGAAGAAGUUGGUUGAGAUGGCCUUGAGCUGGAAAUGGAACCAUAACUAUAGUUACUACAUGGUUUGGUAAAUUCUCACAGCUAUACAUGGAAGACGACAAACCGGAGUUUUGUACUUCUGUUGGAUCCUCUCCUGGUUGAGUUUGUGUCAUGGUAGAAGCUGGGAAACAACUUUUAAGUCUAUGAGAAUUGUUUAAAGUAAACAAAAGAGAGUCUUGGCUAUGAACCUUUCACCUUAUUACAAGACAAAAAGACAAAUUAUAUGACAAAAGUUUUGAUGUGAGGAUAGAAAAGUAUGUGGUUCUGAAGUAUUGUGAGCAAAGUUUUCCAAGCUAGUAGUAUCAACAUUCUAGAUUUUUCAUUUUUGUUUGGGUAAAUUAAAAUUGUAAAAAUAAGCCAAAAGCCAAAAACCAAUCCAAACAUGCAGAGCCCUCGAACCUUAUACGAGUGUAUUCCUCCAGAGUUUUGGGAAUAUUUGAAGACACAAGUUAAUCCCUUUGUUGGGAAAAUCAGCUUUGAUGAAAUUAUCAAUUCUUUCUAGCGUAUUUGACAGUUUGAAACUAUGAACUUUAGGUCCAUUCCAUCCCCUGGUGUUAAGAGAGGAAAAAAGACUCCAUUAAACGCCACGAGUCCAUGGAAUAGCUUGACAACAAGAACCAAUGUAUUAGGGUCAGCCAAGGAAAUUCUGAACUUGUAACUAAGUAUCUGAAAAUUGGACCAACUGUUAGGCCAUGGACGCGUAGAGAUGAACAUGUUACAUGAGAGAUGGAUUCUUUCAUAGUAUUAAUGAAUAGCUGUAUCAAGAUUGUGGUAUCAAACACUUUCAACCAACUAUAGAAUUCGAAAGAGCUGGUUUCAUGGACAACAUUUGUUUUAUUUAUGCGUAGUUGAUAUCUCAGAUAUUCACUCAACUACUAAUACUUAUAAUCACAGAAUUCAUUUUAUUUUUUGAGAGACCAAUAGAAUUACAUGGAAAUGGAUACAGCACCACGUCCGAAUAGAAGGACUAUCUCUUUAAAAUUAGCGUUGAGCAAGAGAGGUGGUUUCGAUAGACAACUCUAAAGAUGCUUUUUAACUCCAAUUAGAACAAAUAAACAGAUUAAGGUAGUCAAACAUUUAUUCAUGUUAAAACCAGAUUAAGUAUCUGUUAAGAGAGAAAUGCAAAGCAAUCAUCUCAUUGAUAGGCAUAAAAGUUUAUAAGAUACUGAACAUUCCAAGAUCAAAUAAAUGUAAGGUAGUAACCAAGAUACUUGAAGAUGAAGUCUAUCUUGUGAUAUGCGCGAUGAAAGAAUCGAACUCCAUUCGAGAAGACCCCCCUUUCUCUGUGGACUGCCUUACAGCUUCUCCAAAUUCUUCUGCUCUUUUUCUAAUCACAUUGCCUUCUUCUGAUGCCAUCAACUUCCUCACAACAUUCUCAAUGGUGGAUGCAUUCACCAACUCCUCGCGUUUCUCCCACUCCCUCACAAUCAGGCCUAUUUUUAACACUUCUGUCACCAAGAAACCAUUCAUUGGUUGGUCAGAGUGCAUAGGCCAAGCAGCUAUAGGCACUCCCAUAGUAAUACUCUCCAUACAAGAAUUCCAUCCACAAUGACUCAUGAACCCGCCUGUAGACGAAUGAGCCAAUAUUUCUGGUUGUGGUGCCCAUUCUCUUACCACUAACCCGACCCCUUUUACUCUUUCUUCAAACCCUUCAGGCAACUCAACUUUCCUAGCUUCCUCAGUAAAGAUAUCUCCUCUAUCGGCGUCUCUCAACACCCAUAUAAACCUCUGUUUACUCUGCUCUAAUCCCAUCGCGAGCUCCUUGAUUUCCCUAUUGGAAAAUGAAGUUGUUGUUCCAAAAGAUACAUAAAGAACUGAUCUUGGAGGUUGUUUGUUAAGCCAAUCCAAACAUAUAUUCUCCCUAUUCGAGAUACGAUCUAGUUUAGUAGGCAAAACUGGUCCAAUUGCCCAAUUUUUCUUGUUCUGAUCACUUGCUACUUGUGCCAACAAAUCAAGAAACUUACCUUCAAUUACUUUGCUUGUAUUAUAGAUAUCACCUGAUCUAAUAUCCAUAUACCGACGCUGAGAAGCUGAAAAGUCCCUGGCUUCAUCUGUAGCAAUUCCUUCAAGGGAGGGUAGCUUUUUAAGCAAUUCUUCUUUAUGUUGUACAGACAUCCCACACGAUAAGCGUUGCAAACAGAAUGAAGUGAAAACUGAAAUGCAGUUAAAUACAUAGGAUUCCACAUUGGGCAAAGAAGAAACAUCCUGAACAUUAUAGGACAUUAAAAGAUCAUGAACAACAAUGACCCGUUUUGCUUUUGAUGAAAUAUUGCGUAAGAAAGAAGCAAUGGGCUCGCGAAGAAGCAUAGAAGCAUCCCACGAUGGCUGAAGAUGUGAUGGGAAUUUGCUCAAGGCAUUAAAGUCAGGUGAUGGUGAGUCAAAUUCAGGAGUUGGAAGGUCAUGGAAGUGGACUUUGGCUAUGUCUGAAGGAUUUAAGGCGUUGGCUCGAAUCCUAGCUUGACGAUUAUGUGUGGCUGAACAAACAUAGUAGACAGGAAGACCAUAGGAGGAGAUUAAACAUGAAAGUUGGAGAAGUUGGUUGAGAUGACCUUGAGCUGGAAAUGGAACCAUAACUAUAGUUACUUCAUGGUUUGGUAAAUUCUCACAGCUAUACAUGGACGACGACAAACCGGAGUUUUGUACCUCUGUUGGAUCCUCUCCUGGUUGAGUUUGUGUCAUGGUAGAAGCAGGACAACAACUUUUAAGUCUAUGAGAAUUGUUUAAAGAGAGAAGUAUUGAAAACAUACUUAAACUCAACAUGAAUCAUUAGUUUUAUUCCCGAGCUAUUGAUAGCCUUAAAUACACCCUCGAUCUUGCAACAUGAGUGAAAUACUCCUCUAAAUUCUCGCUAAGUUUAGGUGUGUUUUCAACACUUUUCUCAGCUUUUAAUUAAGAACUCCUUACUCCUAUAAGAGUUUGAGACCACUUGCUAUGUCAUGUGGUAGAUCGGGGUGUAUCUUAGUUUAGUUAGUCAAGUAAAGUGUAUUUUUAAAGCUGUCAAUAGUUUAAGGAUAAAACUAAUAAUUUGCGCCUCAAGGAUGUUUUCUAUACAGAAAUCAAUCUUGGCUAUGUAACUUUCACCUUAUUACAAGACAAAAGGACAUUAUAUGACAAAAAAAAUUUGGAUGUGAAAGAAAAGUAUGUGGUGCAGAUUGCAGAGGAAUUGUGACCAUUCACCAUAGUUUUGGAAACUAGUGAUAAUUGGUCUUCUAGAUUUUUUUCAUUUUUGGUUUCUCUUUUUAAGUAUUUUGUUUACUUUAUAUAUUUGUCAGUUUUUAAAAUGAUCUUGUAAUGCUCCAGGACUACAUAAUAUCAGAAAACACACACUGUCUGUCUAAAGGAGUACAUUUUUUUUGGCAUAAUUUGUUUCGACUCAAAAUGUUUUAUCCGAUGUUUGAUAUUCAUUUUAGAGUUUGACUAAUCCUAAUUACGGACAAAAAGUCUCACUUUGAAAGGUACAACACUUCAUGCCAAAGGUGAUUUCAGAUUAAAGCUCGAACCUGAUGCCUCUGGCUAAGGAUAGUAAUUAAGUUAGAGGGCAUAAUCCUCCAGAGUUUUGGGAAUAUUUGAAGACACAACAAGUUUUUACUAUUUGGUGGGAAAAUCAGCUGUGAUGAACUUUUCAAUUCUUUCACUGUGAUUUCUCAGAUGUUCAUUCAACUACUAAAGUACUAAUAGUUAUUAUCGCACAAGUCAUUUUCUUUAUCGAGAGACCAACAGAAUCACAUGAAAAUGGCUACAGCACCACAUUAUACAAAUAGAAGGACUAUCUCUCUUGCCAAGAUGUAAAUAGUAAACGUGAAAAGUAAAAUGGAAAUGAGGAAGUACAUCAACCUUCAUUGAAUUUCACAGUUUCCUGGACAUUCAUCUCAAGGGUAAGCACAUUCAAUUUUCAUUAGUUGUUGAGAGCUAGAAGAUGGUAACCGCGAUUCAUGUGAUUCCCAUGACAGCACAGAACCUGAUGUAGAGUUGAUAUGGUAAAGGUAGAAGGCAAUAAUCAUGAUAAUAACUAUGGUGUUUUUCGACAUGGCUCAAGUUUUAGAAGUGAAGGCUAGUUUGGUGUUACCUAAAUGCUCAAUUAUAACAAGGCUUUAACAAGUGAAUAUAUAUAAUGUCAGUCUGUUCAUGAUAUUAUUUAAUUUACUGUCAUGAACUAGAAACUAUGCAUUAAAUAUAAAGUUAAAAUGCUAAUUGUAAACACAUCUGAGGAGCAAGAUCCUAAUUAUCAGCUGGUGUUGUUGAAAAUUCCAAAUUAGUUCAACAUGUAUUAUUUACAAGGUAAAAAUAGCUGGACUUAUGUUAAAUUUUAAUUUGCUUAUUAUAUUGGAUAACAUGUCUACAAGUUCAAAGUUUCAUCACCAUUGAAGUCAACAUGUAUUUGAUAUUAUAAUGAAUGUUUGCUCAUCAAUAAUGGUGAUGUUAUCCAAAUUAGUUAGCAAGUUUGAAAAUUUCACAUGUUUGCAUCACAUUUAACCAUUUAAAUAAUACAUGUACAGGUCUGAAAGUUAGGAUCUUGCUCGAUCGUCAUGUGUGCUUUUAAAAUUGGCGUUGAGCAUGAGAGGCUGUUUCCGAUAGACAACUCUAAAGAUACUUUUUUUACUCCAAUUAGAACAAAUAAACAGAUUAAGAUAGGCAAACAUUUAUUCAUGUUAAAACCAGAUUAAGUAUCUGUUAAGAGAGAAAUACAAAGCAAUCAUCUCACCCAUAGGCAUAAAAGUUUAAGGUAGUAACCAAAAUACUUGAAAAUCUAAUGACAAUGAUACAAUUGAAGACAUCUAAUUUUUGAUUUCUUAGAGAAGGAUACUUAGUACUUUGUGACUAUGAGUGAUGAUUGUUCUCAAAUGGUUUGGAUGAAGGUACAUGAAAGUCAUAUGCACAUAUACAAAUACAACAUCUGAUGCAGUUUCUUGAAGUGAGAAGUAACAGAAAUACUUGAAAAUCAAGUCUAUCUUGUGAUAUGCGCGAUGAAAGAAUCCAACUCCAUUCGAGAAGCUCCCCCUUUCUCUGUGGACUGCCUUACAGCUUCUCCCAAUUCUUCUGCUCUUUUUCUAAUCACAUUUCCUUCUUCUGAUGCCAUCAACUUCCUCACAACAUUCUCAAUAGUGGAUGCAUUCACCAACACCUCGCGUUUCUCCCACUCCCUCACAAUCAGGCCUAUUUUUAACACGUCUGUCACCAAGAAACCAGUCAUUGGUUGGUCAGAGUGCAUAGGCCAAGCAGCUAUAGGAACCCCCAUAGUAAUGCUCUCUAUACAAGAAUUCCACCCACAAUGACUCAUGAACCCACCUGUAGACGAAUGAGCCAAGAUUUCUGGUUGUGGUGCCCAUUCUCUUACCACUAAACCGACCCCAUUUACUCUUUCCUCAAACCCUUCAGGCAACUCAACUUUCCUAGCUUCCUCAGUAAAGAUAUCUCCUCUAUCGGCAUCUCUCAAUACCCAUAUAAACCUCUGUUUGCUCUGCUCUAAUCCCAUCGCGAGCUCCUUGAUUUCUCUAUCGGAAAAUGAAGUUGUUGUUCCAAAAGAUACAUAAAGAACUGAUCUUGGAGGUUGUUUGUUAAGCCAAUCCAAACAUAUAUUCUCCCUAUUCGAGAUACGUUCUAGUUUAGUAGGCAAAACUGGUCCAAUUGCCCAAUUUUUCUUGUUCUGAUCACUUGCUACUUGUGCCAACAAAUCAAGAAACUUACCUUCAAUUACAUUGCUUGUAUUAUGGAUAUCACCUGAUCUAAUAUCUACAUAUGGACUCUGAGAAGCUCCGCGAUCUCUGAUUUUAUCCGUCAUAAUUCCAUCAAGGGAAGGUAACUUUUUCAGCAAUUCCUCUUCAAGUGGAACAGACAUUCCAACAGACAAGCAUAUAAUACAGUACAAAGUGAACACCGAAAUGCAAUUAAAUAUAUAGGAUUCCGCGUUGUGCAAGGAAGAAACAUCCUGAACGUUAUAGGACAUUAAAGAAUCAUGAACAACAACGACUCGUCUUGAUUUUGAGGAAAUAUCACAUAAGAAGGAAGCAAUAGGCUCGCGAAGAAGCAUACAAGCAUCCCAUGAUGGCUCAAGAUGUGAUGGGAAUUUGCUUAAUGCAUUAGGAUCAGGUGCAGGGGAGGUAAAAUCAGGUGUUGGGAUAUCAUGGAAAUGAAUUUUGGCUAUGUCUGAAGGAUUUAACGCGUUGGCUCUAACCCGAGCUUGAAGAUUAUGUGUAGCUGAGCCAAGAUAAUAGACAGGAAGAUCAUAUGAUGAGGUGAUUAAACAAGCAAGUUGAAGAAGUUGAUUAAGAUGGCCUUGUCCUGGAAAUGGAACCAUAACUAUAGCUACUUCAUCUUGUUUUAAGUUGCUACUACACAUGGACUUGGAAAAAUCGAAAUUUCGUACUUCUGUCUGAUCCUCCAUGUCUCCUGAUUGAGCUUGUGUUAUGAAUGAUUUUUAAUCAAAAUUUCGUACUUCUAUCAGAUCCUCUCUUUGAAGUGUAAGAGAUUUGAACUUGUAAAAUUUUGAAGUUGUUCUUGAAAAUGAUAAAUAAUAUUAUAUUUAUGAAAUAAAAGCAUUGACUUACACAAGUUGUGUUGUGGAAGCAAAAAGGACAGGCUAACAAAUCCAAACCAUUGAAAAUUUUAGUUUUUUAAUAUCUUAAUCCAUCUUUUUAGUCUAUGUUUGCCAGCCACUCAUCCCUCAAUUAUUGGCGGGUUUAAUUAUUCCAUCUUUUAAAUAAUAUAUUUCAUAUUUUGCCGUGUUUUGACUUUUGAAUAUUUCUUACUAUUCUCCAACUAUAUAGUAUAUAUACCUUGAUUUCGUUACGCUCAAUAAGAAGUCUGACCAAAAAAAUGUUUCGUGUCAUGCUAUUACAAAGUCAAGUUGUUUUAUCCAAGUUAUUAUAUACACAGAUGUAUAGUCAGACCCCUCUAUAAUACUAUAUUUUCUUAUGGGAUCGAUUUUUCAUGUUAUAAUCAGACUACAACCAUCAGGCCAGGGUUCGAGCCAACGCCUUAAAUCCUUCGAACAUAGCCAAGAUCCCCUUGAUUUGGGACACUUGUAUGCAUCUUCGCGAGUCCAUUGCUUCCUUCUUUAGGGACAUUUUGUCUCAAGCAAGACGAAUUGUUGUCGUUCAUGAUUUUUUAAUGUCCUAUAAUGAUCAGGAUAUCUCUUCCUUUCACACAAGCAAACAUUUCAAAGGUCUGAAUUUGCUCUUAUCCUCUUAUCUUCACACAUUUCCAAAGGUUUGGAUUUCCUAUUUUAUCCUAUUACAUACAUACAUACUCACUCACACGCUGACACAUGAUUCGAGUUAUUCAAAGGGAUUUUGAUUGAAUUUGCUAUAAUUUGAACGAAAAUGGCGUGUUUCUGGUAACCUUUGUUCAAUCUACAAACACUUCAAGAACAUCUUUUAUAGAUGGUUAAUCGAAAUUUCCAAGUCUUACAUGUGUUUACUUCUGUUCAUCAGUUCUCAUAGAAUUCAAAGUUGAUACCUUGAAGAAAUACAAAAGGAUGAAUAUAGAUAAGCCUGCUUCUACCUAUCACAGGGAGGAUACAACACAAGUACAAAACUCCGCGUCCAUGUGUAGCGAUGAGAAUUUACUAAACCAUGAAUUUAGCAAACUAAAACAAGAUGAAGUAGCUAUAGUUAUGGUUCCAUUUCCAGCUCAAGGCCAUCUUAACCAACUUCUCCAACUUUCAUGUUUAAUCUCCUCCUAUGGUCUUCCUGUCUACUAUGUUGGCUCGGCCACACAUAAUCGUCAAGCUAGGAUUCGAGCCAACUCCUUAAAUCCUUCAGACAUAGCCAAAGUUCACUUCCAUGACAUCCCAACUCCUGAAUUUGCCUCACCAUCACCUGAUUUUAAUGCCUUGAGCAAAUUCCCAUCACAUCUUCAGCCAUCAUGGAAUGCCUCUAUGCUUCUUCGCGAGCCCAUUGCUUCUUUCUUACGCGAUAUUUCAUCAAAAUCAAGACGAGUCAUUGUUGUUCAUGAUCCUUUAAUGUCAUAUAAUGUUCACGAUGUUUCUUCUUUGCCCAAUGCUGAAUCCUAUAUGUUUAAUUGCAUUUCAGCUUUAACUUCCUACAGUUUGAUAAGCUUAUUUUUUGGGAUGUCUGAUCAACAUGAAGAAGAAUUGCUUAAAAAGCUACCCUCCCUUGAAGGAAUUAUGACAGAUGAAAUCAGGGACUUAUCAGCUUCUCAGCAACACUAUCUAGAUAUUCGAUCAGGUGAUCUUAAUAAUACAAGCAGAGUAAUUGAAGGCAAGUAUCUUGAUUUGCUGGAACAAGCAGAACUUAAUCUGAACAAGAAACAAUGGGCAAUUGGACCUAUUCUGCCUACUAAAUUCGAUCAUAUCUCGAAUAGGGAGAAUAUAUGUUUGGAUUGGCUUAACAAACAACCUCCAAGAUCAGUACUUUAUAUAUCUUUUGGAACAACAACUUCAUUUUCUGAUAGAGAAAUCAAGGAGCUCGCGAUGGGAUUAGAACAAAGCAAACAGAAGUUCAUAUGGGUGUUGAGAGAUGCCGAUAGAGGAGAUAUCUUUAAAGGGGAAGAUAGAAGAGUUGAACUACCAGAAGGGUUUGAGGAGAGAUUAAAAGAUGUAGGCUUAGUGGUAAGAGAAUGGGCACCACAACCAGAAAUAUUGGCUCAUUCGUCUACAGGCGGGUUCAUGAGUCAUUGUGGAUGGAAUUCUUGUAUAGAGAGUAUUACUAUGGGAGUGCCUAUAGCUGCUUGGCCUAUGCACUCUGAUCAACCAAGAAAUGGUUUCUUGGUGACAGAAGUGCUAAAAAUAGGCCUGAUUGUGAGGGAGUGGGAGAAACGCGAGGAGUUGGUGAAUGCAUCCACCAUUGAGAAUGUUGUGAGGAAGUUGAUGGCAUCAGAAGAAGGCAAUGUGAUUAGAAAAAGAGCAGAAGAAUUGGGAGAAGCUGUAAGGCAGUCCACAGAGAAAGGGGGUACUUCUCGAAUAGAGUUGGAUUCUUUCAUCGCACAUAUCACAAGAUAGACUUGUUUGUGUUUUGCUUAACUAGAAUUGAGUCCACCAAUUGUGGAUGUAUGUCUUUUGUUUAAUUAAGUACUUGUUUGUGUUUACUUUUAUUCAAUUUAUAAGCAUUUCAAUAACAACCUUUAUGGAUGGUAUAUCACUUUACAAGUCCAUCUUCUGUUUAAUUUUGUUCAUUCUCAUAGACUUCAGAGUCAUUACCUUGAAGAAAUACAAAAAAGUUGAUUAUAUAAGCUUUUAUGUACCAUGACAAAUGCUCAAUCAGGAGACAGGGAGGAUACGACAGAAGAACGAAAUUCUCUUUUUAUUCUUCCUUGUGUAGCUGUGAGAAUUUACCAAACCAUGAACUUAACAAGUUGAAACAAGAUGAAGUAGCUAUCUACCUUUAUGGGGUAGAUAGGUUGUUUCGAUUGACCCUCGACAACCCUCCUCCUUUAUCUGUGUGUGGAGCUGGCAAUGUGAAUGAACUCAUAUAGGUGGAGUUAAAUUCCAUGUUAAGAAAUCAGGUCAGGCUUUGUCAACAACAACAAUCAGGUCAGGGUUCGAGCCAACGCCUUAAAUCCUUCAGACAUAGCCAAGAUUCACUUUCAUGACCUCCCAAGGAUUUGGGGGAAUCUUGGCUUACUCGUCAACAGGCGGGUUCAUGAGUCACUCUGGAUGGUAGUCUUUCUUAGAGAGCAUUAGUAUGGGAGUGCCAAUAGCAGCUUGGCCUAUGUAGUUUGACCAACCAAAAAAUGGUUUUUUGUAAGGUAACAUGGUUAAAGUUUUGUAUUUAAUAAUAUAACAUUAACACAAUGUUUUUUUUUAUAUAUAUUUUUUAUCAAUUAACACGAUACACAUUAGCAAAACACUUACAUUUAAAUAAUAUCUAUUUAUCUAUACGAUAUUAAAAGCACUUAGAAAUGUUGUUUGAAUUUACCCUUUAUUUAAAAGAUCCUAUAAUAGACAAAAAUAUUUAAUAUUUUCAAAAAUUUAUAAUAUUAAUGUGACAUAACACUAAACUAUUCAUACAAAAAAGAAGUUAGGUAAUAUUACUUGUAAUUACAUCAUAUUUGUUUAAUGCGGUACAAAAAUGUUACUGUAUUAGACACCAAUUUUAAUAGUAUAGGAAAAGAUGGUAUUAGAAAAUUUAAUAUUCCUAUUUUAUAAUUACACUAACUGCUCACUAAGGACGGAGGCGUAUCCAGAAUUUCGGUAAACUGGGUGCACGGUUACGAAAAAAUGCAUCUUAAAUAUAAAUUUGAUCAAUUUGACUUUUUGGUUCUUAAUAUGAACCAUUAGAUUAUAAAAAUUAUAGGUCCAAAAUAUAUAAUAAUUUUAAAACACACAUUUCAUUUAAUUAUAUAAAAUAUUAUAGUGCUAAAACUUUUAGGAAUUUUUAAUGUUACACACUUGAAAAUUUUGAAAACUUGAAGGAAAAAACAAAAGAAAAAAUAGUUGAAACACCAAAAGUAUAACUGAUAAUCACUUAGAGAGGUGUUACUCAAAAGGAUGAGAUAGAUAAAAGAUUUAAAUUAUUAUUUUCACUUAGAGAGGUGCACCCACUCAUCAUCGUAUUCUUAUAUGAUACUUUGAACGUGGCUUCACACAAUUAAAUUUAAAUAUUUUUUAAAAAAAGAUAACACUACUAUAUAUGAUCUAGAGAGGGGAACAUGAGUUCACGUGAACCCACGACACCCCCUCUAGAUACGCCCCUGACUAAGGAUAUGACCUUAGAUAAGAGGGUACAAAGGUUGCGGAUUGGGGUAAAAUGUUAGUAGGUACAGUAAAACCUCUCUAAAUUAAUAUAGGUGGGACCAUGGAAUAUUAUUAUUUUGUAGAGAUACUAUUUAAUCGAUAAAUUAAUAUUUAUUGAUUUAAAAAGUGUUUCGACACCGAAAAAAUUGUUCAGGGACGAAAUCUCAAAGAAUCCACUUGUGAAAACGUCAUUCAUGAAUUUGAGGUCAUGAUUAAAGAUCUCGGUUACUGCAAUAAAAUGGACGUUACAUGUCCAGAGGUCCAGAGCUUAGAACAAAUUAUUGAUAUCAUUGGAAAAACAAUGUUGUUGAUAAAGUUGAAGAUGAUACAAUACCUUUGCAAUCCAUUAUGCGUAAGGAAACACUUGCAUAAUUAGAGAUGAGCUUCAACAAGAUUUAAAUUUUAACAAAUAAAGAACAAAAUAGAAUCAUAUUUCACUGAAUUUUCUCAGAUAUAUUUGUACUUUUAAAGAAUUAUUAAUUUAUAAUAUUAAUGAGACCAUAUAUUUAUAUAGGGAUCUUCUGAAAAUUUUAUUAUCUUAUCGAAAUGAGUGAUUUUUUCCAUUGGCCCAAGUCGGGAUCAGAGGAAACUAUUAUCUUAGAGAGAUUAUUAAUUAACUGAGUAUUAAUUUAGUGAGGUUUUACUGUAAUUGAUAUUUUUGCGCUUAAUUUUCAACAUGAGAUAGUCCAAAGCACCAUGCAUGUAUGUUGUAGUAUUAGUGUUAUUCAUGUAGGGUCGUUUGGUAGGCCGCAUUAAAACAAAUAUUCCAUGUAUUAUGUAUGGUAUUAUUUAGUACUAUGUUUGGUAGGAAAUUGGGUCUAUGUAUAACUAAUUCAUGGAUUACUUAUACCUUCUACAUGGUAUUAUAGGAUGUAUUUCUAAUACCUUCCAUUUGGAGGUAUUAGUAAUACAUGAGAUAUAAUACCAUGGGAUAAGUCUAUGUAAAGACAAAAAUAAAUCAUUUUAAUUAUUUUGUAUAUUUUCUUGAUUUUAUGUUUUAUAUUUGUACUAGUAAAUUUAUUUAAAUAAAUUAGCUUACAAAUUAUUUAGAGAGAGUUGUUUGUUACUAAAUAAAUUCAAUACAAAUUAAUACAAUAUUUGAAAUGUGAGUUAUUUAACAUUAACUAAUUAAAAAAACAAAUAUAUCACCACAUGACGUUAUAUAUAUAUACGUUUUUCUAAUUAUUUGUAUUUUGAACAAUUUAUAAAUUGAAUACAUAUUAAAAUUACAACUUGCAAUUUUUAUGUGUAAAUGUAGAUGAUUUAUUCAAUUUUACUAUUCUUUACAGUCUUUUCAAUUUUAAAAGCUGAUAGUUUAUCUUUUUAAAAAAAUUGAAAAUUGACAUUUUAUAAGUGAUCAAUUUACUAAGAUGAAUUAUUUAUCCUCAAAUAAUUUAAGUGAAAAAAAAGGCAAACAUGACAACAAAAUUGUUCUUCUCAUAACUAGUUAGAAUGCCAUAAAAAAAUAAUAUUGUCCGGCAAUUAUAUACCUUAACCCAAUUGCAUAAUAAUUUAAGGGUAUAGUUGGAAAGAAUUUUUUUAUAAAGUUUUAAUCCAAACACAAGAUGAUGUGGGAAAUAAUGAACCAAACAGUUAAUAAAAAUAAUUUCUGCAUUACUAAUCUCUGCACUAUUAAUCCUUGCAUUAUUAAUCCCAGUAUUACUAAUCACUGCAUUAUUAAUCUUUGUACCAAACGACUCCGUAGUGUCUUGCUCUUCGACAUUUGUUACCAUAUGUCGUUGUUACAAUUUUUUUAAAAUUAUUCUUGUGCGUUGAUUUUCGUAUUAAUUGUCUGGUUUUCUUUUUUAGCAAUAUUUUCUAAUUCGUAAUUAUUUUGAUUUGACUACUUAUUAGAAGAGUCUACAAGCAGGCAUGUCUUUAUCAACAUGCCUUCUUGUAUGACAAGGGCAUUUUCGUAACUUCCUACUUUUUCUUUCCUUGAGUCUUUGUAUCUUCUUUCUUUAAGAUUGUACCUUUUCUUUAUUGGACCCAAAAACCAAUCAAUAUUUACCUAAUGGCUUAUAUGUCCUAUCAAAAUAUUCUUCUCGUGAAUUCUAUUAUAUAUAAAUAAAAAUAAAAUAAAACAAAAUUAGAAUGUGUCAGCAUUACUAGUCCAUAUGACAAUGUCCCCCAGCUUUAUCCAAAUCCAAAUAAUAAUAAUAAAGUAGAAUUGACAUGCCACCAGAUUAUAAAUGAUGUGCUGAUUGAAAUAAAUAUUAAACGUGUAACAAUUUAUCAGCCAUUUAUCAAUGAGGUGCGUGAAAAUUGAUUGAAAUAAAUAUUAACGGUCGCUUGGUAUAAAAAUAAAUAAUGCAGGGAUUAUUAUUAUUGGCAUUAGUAAUGCAGUGAUUAAUAGUGCAGAAAUUAGUAAUGCAAAAUUUAUUUUUAUCAAGUGUUUGGUUCAUUGGUUCCAACCCCAUUUUGGAAUUGGGUUAAGACUUCAUAAAAUAACUCCUUUCCAAUUAUAUCCUUGAAUUGUUAUGUAAUUAGGUUAAGGUAAAUAAUUGCCGGACAAUAUUAUUUUUUAUGGCCUUCUAACUAGCUAUGAGAAGAACAAUUUUGUUGUCAUGUUUGCCUUUUUUUUCACUUAAAUUAUUUGAGGAUAAUAAUUGUCAUCUUAGUAAAUUGAUUACUUACAAAAUGUCAAUUUUUAAUUUAAAAAAAAGAAGAUAAACUAUGAACUUUUAAAAUUGAAAAGACGUAAACAAUAGUAAAACUGAAUAAAUCAUCUAUAUUUCCACAUAAAAAUUGCAAGUUAUAGUUUUAAUAUGUAUGCAAUCUUAUAAAUUGUUCAAAUACAAAUAAUUUAGAAAACCACACAAAUAUUGCCCUUUUAAUUAGUUAAAUGUUUAAAGCAAACUCAUAUUUCAAAUAUUGUAUUAAUUUGUGUUGGAUUUAUGUAGUAACAAAACAACUUUUCUCUAAAUAAUUUUGUAAGCUAAUUUAUUUAAAUAAAUUUACUAGUACAAAUAUAAAACAUAAAAUCAAGAAAAUAAAUAAAAAUAAUUAAAAAUGAUUUGAGAGAUAUUUUUGUUUUUACAUAGACUUAUCCCAUGGUAUUAUAUCUAAUGUAUUACUAAUACCUCCAAAUGGAAGGUAUUAGUAUUACACACUAUAAUAUCAUGUAGGAGGUAUAACUAAUCCAUGAAUUAGUUAUACAUAUGCCCAAAUUCUUACCAAACAUAGUACUAAAUAAUACCAUAUAUAAUACAUGGAUUAUUUAUUUUAAUGCAGCCUACCAAACGACCCCUAAACGUGUAGCAAUUUCCUAUUUUUAAUUUGCUUGAAAUAGAUUUAAUGUUAUGAUCCUAUUAUUAGUAGGAUAAUAUGUAUUCUGCAAUGAAUUUAGUCCUAAUAGAAAAAUGUUUUGUUUAAUCGUAAUAUAAAAUUACAUUUAUAUCUUAUAGUAAUUUUUCAUAUGGAGGAAAAUUUUGAACUUAAAAAGGUCAAAUAAGUCGAUCAACUUUUUAAGAUAUUUUGUUAAAAUAAGCUUUUAGUCUUUUCACGUGAACAUUCAUGCAAAACUCCAAAACAUGUGCACCACAUAUUUUUUUUUGCCACGUCUCCAAAUCUUUGUAGUAGUACGGAGUAUACAAUACCCUAGAUCCAAUAAUUCAAAAAUAAUACUCUUCAUGUGACACUUUUCAAAUUUUGAUAUUCAAACAAGUUUAUCUUUGAUUCUAAAUUUUUUAUUUAUCUUUUAAUUAUUUUAAUUUGACAAUUAUUGUGACUUAUAGUACUUUUUACUUAAUUUACAAAUAUAUAAAUUUCAUUUCAAAAAAAAUAGAAAAGCUUAAAUUUCUGAUCAAACUUAAAUUGUUUGACUCUCGAAAAACGAAAAGCACCACAUAAAUUGGGACAACGUCUUACAUACAUACACACAAUAGCGGACCCAAAAUUGUUUUUAAGGGUGUCGACGAUUGUAGUAAGAAAAUGAGUAUAAUUAUGAAGCUGGUAGGACUUGAACACACAACCUUAAAGAAUUUUACGACGCCUUUACCAACUAGUAUAUAUACACACACUCACUUCAACAACUUCUACAAAAGAUUGAACAAACUUCAAAGUUGUUUACCUUGUAUAUUGAAUAUUGAUAGCCCUGGUAUUAGCCAUGACACAAGUAGAAAACCAUGAAUUUAGCAAACUGAAACAAGAUGAAGUAGCUAUAGUUAUGGUUCCAUUUCCAUCUCAAGGCCAUCUUAACCAACUUCUCCAACUUUCAUGUUUAAUCUCCUCCUAUCAACUUCCUGUCUACUAUGUUGGAUUGGCAACACAUAAUCAUCAAGCCAGGAUUCAAGCUAACACAUUAAAUCCUUCAAACAUAGCCAAACUUCACUUCCAUGACCUUCCAAAUCCUGAACUAAUAUCCUCAUCAAAUCUUGAGACAGUAUGGGAUGUUUCUAUGCUUCUUCGCGAUCCCAUUGCUUCUUUCAUACGCAAUAUUUCAUCAAAAGUAAGACGAGUCAUCGUUGUUCAUGAUCCUAUGAUGUCUUACAAUGUUCAAGAUGUUUCUUCUUUGCUCAAUGCUGAAUCCUAUAUAUUUAACUGCAUUUCAGUUUUCUCAUGCUAUAUUAUGAUGUGCUUAUUUUUAAAGAUUUCUGGCCAACAUGAAGAAGAAUUGCUUAAAAAGCUAUACUCCUUUGAAGGAGUUACAACAGAUGAAGCUAUGGACUUGUCAGAUUCUCAACAUCCAUAUAUGGAUAUUAGAUCAGGUGAUAUCCAUAAUACAAGUAAAGUAAUUGAAAGCAAGUAUAUUGAUUUGAUGGAACAAGCAGAAAUUAGUCUGAACAAGAAACAAUGGGCAAUUGGACCUAUUCUGCCUACUAAACUCGAUUACAUCUCGAAUAUAUGUUUGGAUUGGCUGAACAAACAACCUCCAAGAUCAGUUCUUUAUGUAUCUUUUGGAACAACAACUUCAUUUUCUAAUAGACAAAUCAAGGAGCUCGUGAUGAGAUUAGAGCAGAGUAAACAGAGGUUUAUAUGGGUGCUGAGAGAUGCCGAUAGAGGAGAUAUCUUUAAAGGGGAAGAUAGAAAAGUUGAAUUGCCUGAAGGAUUUGAGGAAAGAGUAGAAGGGGUUGGGUUAGUGGUAAGAGAAUGGGCACCACAACCAGAAAUCUUGGCUCAUUCGUCUACAAGCGGGUUCAUGAGUCAUUGUGAUUGGAACUCUUGCUUAGAGAGUAUUACUAUGGGAGUGUCUAUAGCUGCUUGGCCUAUGCACUCUGAUCAACCAAUAAAUGGUUUCUUGGUGACAGAUAUAUUGAAAAUAGGCCUGCUUGUUAGAGAUUGGGGGAAACGCGAGGAUGUAGUAAGUGCAUUCACUAUUGAGAAUGUCGUGAGGAAGUUGAUGGCAUCAGAAGAAGGUAACCUGAUUAGAAAAAGAGCAGAAGAAUUGGGAGAAGCUGUAAGACAGUCCACAGAGAAAGGGGGAGCUUCUCAAAUAGAGUUGGAUUCUUUCAUCGCGCAUAUCACAAGAUAGACUGGUUUCUUUCUAGCUCUUUCUUCUUUGAAUGUUCUCUUUUCAAGCAGUUUGGUUACUUUUCUAUUUUCUUUUAAACUUGUUAUUUAUCAGCUUCUUGGCUCAGACUAAUAUAUGCUACCUUAUAUUUCUUUGAUCUUUGAAUGUUCAGUAUCUGAAAUUUUUUAUGGCUCAGUGAGAUGAUUUCUUUGUAUUUCUCUCACUGAAAAGCAUAACUUAAUCUGGUUCUAAUACAGAUACUCAAACUUGACUUUGAGAGUAUACAUCUAAACACCUCAAUUGACAACUAAAUACUUCAACCUGUCUCCACUGUGUCUUGUGAACACCCGAUGCUAAAGUGACACUCUAAAUCUUGGAAGUGUUUAGAUGAUCAUUUUGUAAGUUGGAGUGUACAACUGACACAAAGGAGACGACUGAUGAGUUGAGGUGUCUAGACGUGUAUACUUAUGAUUAUGAAUAUGAAACAACAUAACACAAAGAAAAAGGAGAAUAUGCAACGAUGCAAAUUGUACACUGCUGUAUUUCAUUACACUAGUUUCUAGGUACGUGCUUUGCGCGUGCAUCCCAUAUCAUUGAGUAGAUAAGUUUAAAAAAACAUAUUAUUAUUUUUAAGUUCUAUAACUGAGUUAUGAAAAUAAUUAAUGUUGAUUUAUUCAGUUAGGUCAUUGAAGAAAAUGUUUUUGUCGCAUGAAAAGCCUUAAAUACCUUGUUGUACUUUUUAGUUUGCCUCGAUGCCUUAUUUUAAUAUCUAUAAUUGGCUUUAACAAUCAAGGUGAGGGUUAUACAUAUUUCUAUUUUAUAUGUCAUUAAAAUUAUAUUUGUUUGGUAUAAAUUUAAAAAUAAUUUGCAUAUAUAUAAGCGAUGAACAAACUUUAACAAAAAUGAACAACCUUUAUUUUCUAAAGCUAAUUGCUAUUUGGCAAUCAAGGCCAAUAACAAAAAAGUUUACAACUCAUAGCGACUCACAAAAAGUUUCAUUUUAAUUUUGCUAAUAAUUUACAACCAGGCAGGUCAUCUUCAAAGUGGUAGAUGUUUUAAGCCAUAUGCUAGAUUUGUAAUACUAUAUAUUAUCCUCCGCAACACUAACGGCGACCCAAUCUUCACAUGGGUGCGUGUCAUGACAAAUCUGAAAUUUUGCAUGUUACUCAAUCUGGAGUUUGUUCUUCAUCGAUCCCAAACUGUGAUUCUACUACCAAGGCAACAAGAAGCUAAUAAGAUGAUUUCAUUCUUUGGAUUCCACCCAGGCUGGAAAACUUCCUCUUUGUGACAAUCCAAAAGAUGAUCAAUAUGAGUGUAUUUCUGUCAUGAUUCUGAUGUGCCCAUUUGAAUUCCAUAAAAUGGAGGAUAUAAGCCUAUUUAUAGUGACGUAACCCUUUAAAUUUCAUACAUAACUGGUUAUAUAUAGUCUUUUCAUUUUUCACAUGUCCUCUCAGAUUUCCUAAUUAAGUGAUAAAAGUCUUUUCAACUUUCAAAUUAAUUCACAGAAUAUGUUGUUCAAUAAUAUUAUUUAAUUAAUGACGAAUGACCAGAAUCCUGUCCCAAUGUCAAUGUCUACAUAGCAUAACACAACAUGGUUCAAUCAAAUGCAAUAAGAACAGCAGAAUAUUGAUCCAUUAAUACUGACCAGUGCAUAACACAACAUGGUUCAAUCUUGAGGGAGCUCAUGUGCGAGAAGAAACAAAGUCCUUGACCACCCACCAACUGAUCCAUGAAGGAGGAAUGCACUUCCCAAAGCCAUCCCAUCAGUAAAAUUGUGCUGUACCAUAACAUAAAUUCAUCAACAGCGUCGUUAGCUCCUCCCGAGCUCUCUUCACCAUCACUUCCACUGUCAUCGACUACAAGUUCUCACUAUACAGACUCAAUCCUCACACCUACGACUAUCGCCUUACUCUCUCCGAACUACAUCUACGAUCAGCAAAGAGAAUUUUAACGAUGUGGGAAGCAAAUAAAGGUAUUUACAUCAAAGCAGGUCAGUUUGUUGCUGCCAUUAGGCAAGUACCAAAAGAAUACUCAACAACACUUUCUUCAUUACAGGAUCAUGCUAUUCCUUUUCAGUUUGAAUCGAUUAAACAUGUGUUAGUUAGUAAUUUAGGUUUAAGUUGUUUAUCGGAGUUUUUUUUCUCCUUCGAUGAGGUUCCGGUUGCUGCUGCAUCUAUUGCUCAAGUACACCAUGCUGUUUUAGUAAAAGACCGUCAGGAAGUGGCGGUGAAGGUGCAGUAUCCUGGAUUGGAGUAUCAAAUGAAAUUUGAUCUAGUAACUAUGUCUUUGUUGUCGAAAUCAGUUGGAUGGAUCUUCGCUGGAUAUAGGUUUCAAUGGCUUGUAACGGAAUUUGAAAAAUCUAUUGCUUCUGAGCUUGAUUUUAUUGCAGAGGCUAAAAAUUUGGAGAGGAUUAGGGAAAAUUUUAAGGAUAAUUCUAUGGUUAGGGUUCCAAAUGUGUUUUGGGAUUUUACGGCAAGGCAGGUUAUGACGAUGGAGUUUUCAGAGGUCGUAAAGUUGAUGAUUUGGAGUUUCUGAAGGAAAGAGGAAUUAGUGAAGUCAAGGUUGCGAAAAGUUUGGCAGAAGUAUUUGCAGAAAUGAUUUUUGUUCAUGGUUUUCUUCAUGGGGAUUUACAUCCUGGUAAUAUAUUGGUUUCUCCUGAAGGGAAGAAUGGAUUUUCGUUAGUGUUGUUGGAUUUCGGGAUUUGUAAACAGUUGAAUGAGGAUUUCAGAUUGAAGUAUUGCGAGCUUUGGGAGGGUUUGGUAGUUAAGGACUCAGCCAAAAUCCAGGAGAUAGGAGAAUAUUUUGGUGUUGGAAAGUACUCAAGAUACUUCCCUGUCAUAUUUACAGGAAGAACUAUUGACAGUAAGUCCGCACUCGGGGAAGGAAUGUCUGUUGAAGAAAGGAAGAACCUUGAGCAGGAAUUGAAGUCUCUUAAAAUGGAGGAUAUAUCUUCCUUCAUGGAAUCUCUGCCUACCGAUUUUCUCACAGUAUUGCGGACCGAUGGGCUCCUAAGAUC